GUGCUUGCCUGGGCAGCACAUGUACUAAAAUUGGAACGAUACAGAGGAGAUAAGCUGAGCCCUGCAUGAAGGAACACCACGCACCAUCCAUGAAGCGCUCCUUGUUAAA
rnacentral:snRNA from 1 species